rnacentral:rRNA from 1 species
AACGAACGCUGGCGGCAGGCCUAACACAUGCAAGUCGAACGUGAAGCUGGAGCUUGCUCCAGUGGAAAGUGGCAGACGGGUGAGUAACGCGUGGGAAUUUACCCAGUGGUUCGGAAUAACUUCGGGAAACCGGAGCUAAUACCGAAUACGCCCUCCGGGGAAAGAUUUAUCGCCAUUGGAUGAGCCCGCGUCGGAUUAGCUUGUUGGUGGGGUAAAAGCCUACCAAGGCGACGAUCCGUAGCUGGUCUGAGAGGAUGAUCAGCCACACUGGGACUGAGACACGGCCCAGACUCCUACGGGAGGCAGCAGUGGGGAAUAUUGCACAAUGGGCGCAAGCCUGAUGCAGCCAUGCCGCGUGAGUGAAGAAGGCCUUAGGGUUGUAAAACUCUUUCACCGGUGAAGAUAAUGACGGUAGCCGGAGAAGAAGCCCCGGCAACUCGUGCCAGCAGCCGCGGUAAC